CAAAAUUUUAUAACGGAAGGAACUGACCCCGGGGUGCAGAGGGCGGGGUCAAAAGGGGUCAAUUGGUUUAAACAACUUCUUUUCUGAAACUAAGCAAUGGAUAUCGCUCACAUUUGUGAGGUAGCAUCUGGGGUUGCGCCAAAAAUCAAUUUCAUUUAAUGGAUUAAUGCAUUUUUGGCAUAAAAACCUCACGUACCCAUAUAAAAUGCCUAUGAUAUAUUGACAUAGCAAUACCAGUGACAAAUAUACUUAAUCAUUAUUCUUGUUUCAUAUCUCAUGAAAUCCAGAUGAGCGAUACAGGCCCUCUGGGCCGCUUGUAAUAACCCAUUAUCAAAGCUAGUGAAAAUAAGGCAAUGAGCUAAAAGUCAGUUAAUUUCCAAGUUAACUUCUUAACUAUCUAAGUGUACCGCGCCAGUAUGAAUAAAGACAGGUGUAUAUAUUUCAGAUUCAAGAAGGGCAGUGAGACAUUCGCCGACAGGUUGGACAGAAAGACUUGCCAGUACUCCACAGAGGUCUCCAAGGCGUCUGUCUGAUGAUUCAGAUUCAAGAUGGACAGAAAGACUUGGGACAGCCACCAGUACUUCACACAGGGUUCCAAGGUGUCUGUCUGAUGCUUCAGAUUGCAGAAGCACUUUGAACCUGCAGCCAAAUAGUAGCAACACAACCAGGACCAACUCUAGGGAUCGUUAU